AAAAGGAUUUAUACUGAAAAACAAUUUUAAAUAAAGGCAACUCCAUUCUCAGAGGGUUUGGGCUCUUCUUUUUCUUCAACAGAUGGACACUGAAGAGCAUGACAAGCAAUCCCCAAAGUGAUGACUUCAAAGACCCUGACAAAGCCUGAAACUUGAAAUCACUCCAAGGACUCUUUGGCUUUCUUUCUCUUGGGUUGUCUACUGGAUGCCACCACCCCCACCAGUUGAAAGGUAAAACAUUAAUAAAUAAUUAAUUUAAUUGUAUACUUUAUACAGGAUGACUUUUUCCCCCAUGAUUUACCAACUAUUGACAGCUGUGAUAAUUUAGAUCUAACUCUGAAGAACUUCAUAAACCCUUCACUACUGGAUAAAUGUUGCAUUUUCUCUGUUUUCCAAAGGGAAGAAUCAAAACAGAAACAGUGAAACCUAAAAAUCUUAAGCCAUGACCAGGAGUCACUUUUAAAUCCCCGCGGAGAGAAUACCUUUAAGAACAGCUGGAAGGAACCAACUGCCAAAUUUCAACUGGCACUGAGAUUUCUGAACUUCGUAUAUGAACAUUCUGUCCCAGCAAAGAGUGAAUAUGUACCUAUGCCACAUUUCUGAAAUGAAUGAUUCCUCAUGUCAGAAAUCGUAUUGCUAGGAUGUGGUGGACGGGAAACCGCGCGAGGACUCUGCAGGCCUGGGUCCCAUCUGACUACAGUGCUCUCGUCUGUCAACCUCUGUCAAGCUCAGUGUUGCCCUCUCGCAGAUGCAGAUCUGAGCCCGCAGCCGCCGUGGCAGGUGGGUGGCGUGUGCGUGUCCUGGAGCCCACGCCCCGCGCGUCGGGUGCAAGCGGCCCCACUGCUCACACGCCUUGCCCUCGGCGUCUCCUCAGCCAGUGAAUCUUCGGGAGCUUCCAAAAUUUUAGAGUAUUGCAAACCAUCCAAUAUUUUGCUCAGAAA
rnacentral:lncRNA from 1 species